rnacentral:tRNA from 1 species
AGUCAAUUAGCUUAUAAUUAAAGCAAGUAUUUUGAAAAUACUAGAAAGAGUAAAUUUAUUGGCUU